rnacentral:rRNA from 1 species
UACGUAGGGUGCGAGCGUUGUCCGGAAUUAUUGGGCGUAAAGGGCUCGUAGGCGGUUUGUCGCGUCGGGAGUGAAAACACCGGGCUUAACUCGGUGCUUGCUUUCGAUACGGGCAGACUAGAGGUAUGCAGGGGAGAACGGAAUUCCUGGUGUAGCGGUGAAAUGCGCAGAUAUCAGGAGGAACACCGGUGGCGAAGGCGGGUCUCUGGGCCGUAACUGACGCUGAGGAGCGAAAGCGUGGGGAGCGAACAGG